UGGGGAAUAUUGCAUAAUGGGCGAAAGCCUGAUGCAGCCAUGCCGCGUGUGUGAAGAAGGCCUUAGGGUUGUAAAGCACUUUCAGCGAGGAGGAAAGGAUUAAAGUUAAUACCUUUAGUCUAUGACGUUACUCGCAGAAGAAGCACCGGCUAACUCCGUGCCAGCAGCCGCGGUAAUACGGAGGGUGCGAGCGUUAAUCGGAAUUACUGGGCGUAAAGCGUGCGUAGGCGGCUACUUAAGUUGGAUGUGAAAGCCCCGGGCUCAACCUGGGAACUGCAUCCAAAACUGGGUGGCUAGAGUGCGAGAGAGGAGUGUGGAAUUUCCUGUGUAGCGGUGAGAUGCGUAGAUAUAGGAAGGAACACCUGUGGCGAAGGCGACACUCUGGCUUGACACUGACGCUGAGGUACGAAAGCGUGGGGAGCAAACAGGAUUAGAUACCCUGGUAGUCCACGCCGUAAACGAUGUCUACUAGUUGUCCGUUGUCUUGUACGAUGGGUAACGCAGCUAACGCGAUAAGUAGACCGCCUGGGGAGUACGGCCGCAAGGUUA
rnacentral:rRNA from 1 species